rnacentral:rRNA from 1 species
GACGAACGCUGGCGGCGUGCUUAACACAUGCAAGUCGAACGGAAAGGCCCUGCUUUUGUGGGGUGCUCGAGUGGCGAACGGGUGAGUAACACGUGAGUAACCUGCCCUUGACUUUGGGAUAACUUCAGGAAACUGGGGCUAAUACCGGAUAGGAGCUCCUGCUGCAUGGUGGGGGUUGGAAAGUUUCGGCGGUUGGGGAUGGACUCGCGGCUUAUCAGCUUGUUGGUGGGGUAGUGGCUUACCAAGGCUUUGACGGGUAGCCGGCCUGAGAGGGUGACCGGCCACAUUGGGACUGAGAUACGGACCAGACUCCUACGGGAGGCAGCAGUGGGGAACAUUGCACAAUGGGCGGAAGCCUGAUGCAGCAACGCCGCGUGCGGGAUGACGGCCUUCGGGGUGUAAACCGCUUUCGCCUGUGACGAAGCGUGAGUGACGGUAAUGGGUAAAGAAGCACCGGCUAACUACGUG